CAUUUUUUACGAAUGGAAGGCUGGUAAUAUUUACACGUUCUUAUAAAUGUUUAGAAAUAUAAAUGUAAAUAGUUUAUAAAUCGUUAAAAGGUUUAUUCAUGAUAGUUAUUUAAAAGUGUUACCAUGGCAACCUCUAUGUAUAUAAUGAGAUGGCAUAAGAUUUGUUGCGAUCAUUUGCAGUGCUUCUGUCCAAAAACAGCAUUUAUCAACAGGAUUUCAGAAAUCCCAGUGGUAAGAUUUCCAGAAUCAGGAGGAAAUAAACCUGAGUAAAGCAACUGUUAAAACCUAACAAAUUAGCCUGUUAAAACCUAACAAAUUAGCCUGUUAAAACCUAACAAAUUAGCCUGUUAAAACCUAACAAAUUAGCCUGUUAAAACCUAACAAAUUAGCCUGUUAAAACCUAACAAAUUAGCCUGUUAAAACCUAACAAAUUAGCCUGUUAAAACCUAACAAAUUAGCCUGUUAAAACCUAACAAAUUAAAACCUAACAAAUUAGCCUGUUAAAACCUAACAAAUUAGCCUGUUAAAAUUAGCUGUCAUGCCAAGAGGUUGCUAGGUGUUGGGUUAAAGUGGUUUCAAUAGUUGUAUAGAUUUAGGAAUAAAGUAGUAACAAUGUACUGUACAGUUCUGCCAUUGUAGAGGUCCUUAGGCACAGAUCUAGGAUCAGAAUACAGUCAAUUACUGUACAGUUCUGCCAUUGUAGAGGUCCUUAGGCACAGAUCUAGGACCAGAACACAGUAAAUGUACUGUACAGUUCAGUAGAGGUUGUCCUUAGGCACAGAUCUAGGAUCAGCUUACCCAACCCAAAACCAAAACUUAAAGGCUAUCCAUGAUUGGUACAUCCAGUUUUUUUACUUUUAAAUUAUUGAUUUAUUGCUCUUGGUUCUUGUAGAUUAUAACUUAAAACUGCCUUGUGACCAGGUCAGCUGUCGUUCCCCAUCAGAACAUUGUAGACUAUAACUUAAAACUGCCUUGUGACCAGGUCAACAGUCGUUCCCCAUCAGAACAUUGUAGAAUAUAACUUAAAACUGCCUUGUGACCAGGUCAGCUGUCGUUCCCCAUCAGAACAUUGUAGAAUAUAACUUAAAACUGCCUUGUGACCAGGUCAGCUGUCGUUCCCCAUCAGAACAUUGUAGAAUAUAACUUAAAACUGCCUUGUGACCAGGUCAGCUGUCGUUCCCCAUCAGAACAUUGUAGAAUAUAACUUAAAACUGCCUUGUGACCAGGUCAGCUGUCGUUCCCCAUCAGAACAUUGUAGAAUAUAACUUAAAACUGCCUUGUGACCAGGUCAGCUGUCGUUCCCCAUCAGAACAUUGUAGAAUAUAACUUAAAACUGCCUUGUGACCAGGUCAGCUGUCGUUCCCCCAUCAGAACAUUGUAGAAUAUAACUUAAAACUGCCUUGUGACCAGGUCAGCUGUCGUUCCCCAUCAGAACAUUGUAGAAUAUAACUUAAAACUGCCCUGUGACCAGGUCAGCUGUCGUUCCCCCAUCAGAACAUUGUAGAAUAUAACUUAAAACUGCCUUGUGACCAGGUCAGCUGUCGUUCCCCAUCAGAACAUUGUAGAAUAUAACUUAAAACUGCCUUGUGACCAGGUCAGCAGUCGUUCUCCAUCAGAACAUUGUAGAAUAUAACUUAAAACUGCCUUGUGACCAGGUCAGCAGUCGUUCCCCAUCAGAACAUUGUAGAAUAUAACUUAAAACGGCCUUGUGACCAGGUCAGCAGUCGUUCCCCAUCCGUACCCCAACUAUAAGCUUGUUUUCACUCCAUUGUUUGUCCACGAUGUAAAGGUUUAAAACCUGGUUAAAAGUAUCAUGUUGAUCUCAUGGAUGGUCAGUCCUUACAUCCAGAGAUCCAUCUGUGAUGUGGUUCAAUCUAUCCAGGCCCAUCCCUCAGCUGUUAACCACAACAAGAUGACCUGUUAGUUGCUUUAUUAAUCCCAGACUGCCACUUUAAGGUUCCAUCCUAGAACUUGGUCUCAGAGUAACCAUGGAGAUUCAGUUCAGUCUGAAAACAAUCUAAACAACUUCUUCAUUCAAUGUUGUGUGUUUUAUAUUCUAUUCUGUUGCACUUUGACAAGUUGUGUAUUUUAUACUUUUAAAGAAUGUACCAUUUCCAAGACAUUUUAUCAAGCAUUC